CGGUGCCUUUGCUAGCCGACGCCGACGUCUAAGCUUCUGGGAAUUUGAUCGGCACCAUUAAUUGCAACCUAGUAGACGUCGGUCCCCUGAAACACUGACGUUAAUGGACUGUCUUAUCACAUACCUCAAACAAUUGGACGUCAGUUUGCGGCAGGUGCGACGUCUAUGAUGUCAUAGAUGUUGCCUGACAUCGAAACUGACGUCUAGUUUUCCAAUUUAUUUACGAUAAUGCCACCGU
rnacentral:lncRNA from 1 species